rnacentral:rRNA from 1 species
CGGGUGAGUAACACGUGGAUAACCUACCUAUAAGACUGGGAUAACUUCGGGAAACCGGAGCUAAUACCGGAUAAUAUAUUGAACCGCAUGGUUCAAUAGUGAAAGACGGUUUUGCUGUCACUUAUAGAUGGAUCCGCGCCGCAUUAGCUAGUUGGUAAGGUAACGGCUUACCAAGGCAACGAUGCGUAGCCGACCUGAGAGGGUGAUCGGCCACACUGGAACUGAGACACAGUCCAG